rnacentral:snRNA from 1 species
GUUUUAACAAUUUGUGCAGCACAUAUAUGAAUUGGAAUGAUACAGAAAAGAUUAGCAUGGCCCCUGUGCAAGG